GGGAUAACUACUGGAAACGGUAGCUAAUACCGCAUAACGUCGCAAGACCAAAGAGGGGGACCUUCGGGCCUCUUGCCAUCGGAUGUGCCCAGAUGGGAUUAGCUAGUAGGUGGGGUAACGGCUCACCUAGGCGACGAUCCCUAGCUGGUCUGAGAGGAUGACCAGCCACACUGGAACUGAGACACGGUCCAGACUCCUACGGGAGGCAGCAGUGGGGAAUAUUGCACAAUGGGCGCAAGCCUGAUGCAGCCAUGCCGCGUGUAUGAAGAAGGCCUUCGGGUUGUAAAGUACUUUCAGCGGGGAGGAAGGGAGUAAAGUUAAUACCUUUGCUCAUUGACGUUACCCGCAGAAGAAGCACCGGCUAACUCCGUGCCAGCAGCCGCGGUAAUACGGAGGGUGCAAGCGUUAAUCGGAAUUACUGGGCGUAAAGCGCACGCAGGCGGUUUGUUAAGUCAGAUGUGAAAUCCCCGGGCUCAACCUGGGAACUGCAUCUGAUACUGGCAAGCUUGAGUCUCGUAGAGGGGGGUAGAAUUCCAGGUGUAGCGGUGAAAUGCGUAGAGAUCUGGAGGAAUACCGGUGGCGAAGGCGGCCCCCUGGACGAAGACUGACGCUCAGGUGCGAAAGCGUGGGGAGCAAACAGGAUU
rnacentral:rRNA from 1 species